UACGUAGGGGGCAAGCGUUGUCCGGAUUUAUUGGGCGUAAAGAGCGUGUAGGCGGCCAUACAGGUCAGCUGUGAAAACUCGAGGCUCAACCUCGAGACGUCGGUUGAAACCGUAUGGCUAGAGUCCGGAAGAGGAGAGUGGAAUUCCCGGUGUAGCGGUGGAAUGCGUAGAGAUCGGGAAGAACAUCGGUGGCGAAGGCGGUCUGCUGGGCCGUUGCUGACGCUGAGGCGCGACAGCGUGGGGAGCAAACAGG
rnacentral:rRNA from 1 species